ACGUUAGCGGCGGACGGGUGAGUAACACGUGGGUAACCUACCUAUAAGACUGGGAUAACUUUCGGGAAACCGGAGCUAAUACCGGAUAAUAUUUCGAACCGCAUGGUUCGAUAGUGAAAGAUGGCUUUGCUAUCACUUAUAGAUGGACCUGCGCCGUAUUAGCUAGUUGGUAAGGUAACGGCUUACCAAGGCAACGAUACGUAGCCGACCUGAGAGGGUGAUCGGCCACACUGGAACUGAGACACGGUCCAGACUCCUACGGGAGGCAGCAGUAGGGAAUCUUCCGCAAUGGGCGAAAGCCUGACGGAGCAACGCCGCGUGAGUGAUGAAGGUCUUCGGAUCGUAAAACUCUGUUAUUAGGGAAGAACAAACGUGUAAGUAACUGUGCACGUCUUGACGGUACCUAAUCAGAAAGCCACGGCUAACUACGUGCCAGCAGCCGCGGUAAUACGUAGGUGGCAAGCGUUAUCCGGAAUUAUUGGGCGUAAAGCGCGCGUAGGCGGUUUUUUAAGUCUGAUGUGAAAGCCCACGGCUCAACCGUGGAGGGUCAUUGGAAACUGGAAAACUUGAGUGCAGAAAAAGAAAGUGGAAUUCCAUGUGUAGCGGUGAAAUGCGCAAAGAUAUGGAGGAACACCAGUUGGCGAAAGCGACUUUUCUGGUCUGUAACUGACACUUAUAUGCGAAAAACGUGGGGGAUCAAACACGGAUUAGAUACCCCUGGGUAUUCCCCCCCCCUAUACCAACAAUUGCUGAUUGUUUAGGGGGGUUUUCCCCCCCCUUUAUGGCUGGCAACCUAACGGCAGUUAAGGCACUCCCCCCGGGCCGGAGUACGAACCACCACGGGUGGGGUACUUCCCCAUGGAAGUUGUUUUGGGGGACCCCCCCCCCAAGCCAGGUUGGUAGCAACGCC
rnacentral:rRNA from 1 species